CAGACUGCAGUGCAGUGGCAUGAUCUUGGCUCACUUCAACCUUCACCUCCUGGGCUCAAGCAACGCUCCCGCCUCAGCCUCCUGAGUAGCUGGGACUAGAGGAAAAACACACAAAUGAUUUUAAAACAGAGCCAAUUACCUUUGAUAGACUUUCCCCUGCUUUUAACAGAAGUUUCCUGGAGUAAUGACCCUACUGUGCUCUGAAAAAGACCAUCCAUUUCCUCUGAUCUGGUCUUAUAUCUUCUAAUUGUGUCACUGACCAAUGGCUUCAACUGCUGCUGAUUCUGUUUUUUGAGGACACAUUCUCCUCACUCCUACUUUUCUCAGUGAUGUUUACAGCAUACAAACCAAACUGCAUGUGAAAUAUUGCCCACCUGCAAAAGCUCUCAAAGGGCACUAAAUGAGGUAACCAUGACAUGCAAGAAUGAUUGUUUCUGGGAUAAGAGGAUGGAGUUACACAAAGACAAUACUCUCUAGGAGUUAAUUUUAGGAGAUUAUAUAUAAUCCUUCCUCAGAAGUGUGUUGCAAAAUCUUCUCUACGUGACUUAAAUAAAACAAAACCUCUUUAGAAGAAAAUAUAUGAAGCUAUCUUCACAUCCUCUGGAUAAAAAAGAUUCUCUCUCCACACCAUGAAGCUGCUGCUGAAGGAGGGAAGAGGGCUAGUGUUGGCAAUCCAAGACAGUCUUUUCUACACUCUUCAGUGUCUCGUUAAACUACAUGAAGCUAAAACCAGCUCCCAGGAGUUCUUUUUUUCCUCAACUAACUCGAAGUCGUUAUUUAGAAAUUUGUUUAAAUGUUAG
rnacentral:lncRNA from 10 species